rnacentral:rRNA from 1 species
UCCGGUUGAUCCUGCCGGACCACACUGCUAUCGGGAUGGGACUAAGACAUGCUAGUCGUGCGUCUCCCAGCUAUGAUGGAGAAGCGGCAUACAGCUCAGUAACACGUGGCUAACCUACCCUUAGGAUAGAAACACCUCCGGGAAACUGGAGUUAAUUUCUAAUAGGUGAUGAAUACUGGAAUGUGACAUCACUCAAAGGGCAUUUAAAUCAUGCUUUUAGAUACUGCCUAAGGAUGGGGCCGCGACCGAUCAGGUUGUUGGUGAGGUAAAGGCUCACCAAGCCUUUAACCGGUACGGGCCGUGAGAGCGGGAGCCCGGAGAUGGGCACUGAGAUAAGGGCCCAGGCCCUACGGGGCGCAGCAGUCGCGAAACCUUCGCAAUACGCGCAAGCGUGACAGAGGUCAUCCCGAGUGCCGUCCGCUGAGGAUGGCUUUUUGCCCAGUGUAAAUAGCUGGGAGAAUAAGGAGAGGGCAAGCCUGGUGUCAGCCGCCGCGGUAAUACCAGCUCUCCGAGUGGUGUGGAUACUUAUUGGGCCUAAAGCAUUCGUAGCCGGCUAGACAAGUCUCUCGUUAAAUCCAGCGUUUCAAUCGUUGGGCUGCGAGAGAUACUUUUUAGCUAGGGGACGGGAGCGGUCGACGGUAUUUCCGGGGUAGGGGUGAAAUCCUAUAAUCCCGGGAGGACCACCAGUGGCGAAGGCUGUUGACUAGAACGUGCCCGACGGUGAGGGAUGAAAGCUGGGGGAGCGAACCGGAUUAGAUACCCGGGUAGUCCCAGCCGUAAACAAUGCAGGCUAGGUGUUAGAGCGGCUACGCGCCGCCCUAGUGCCGCAGGGAAGCCGUUAAGCCUGCCGCCUGGGGAGUACGGCCGCAAGGCUGAAACUUAAAGGAAUUGGCGGGGGAGCACCACAAGGGGUGAAGCUUGCGGUUUAAUUGGAGUCAACGCCGGAAAUCUCACCGGGAGCGACAGUAGGAUGAAUGCCAGAUUAAAGGUCUUGCUAGACAAGCUGAGAGGAGGUGCAUGGCCGUCGCCAGUUCGUGCCGUGAGGUGUCCUGUUAAGUCAGGCAACGAUCGAGACCCGUAUCCCCUGUUGCUAUCAACCUUGGGUUGAGCACACUGGGGAAACCGCCGCCGAAAAGGCGGAGGAAGGAGCGGGCCACGGCAGGUCAGUAUGCCCCGAAUCUCCCGGGCUACACGCGAGCUGCAAUGGCAGGUACAAUGGGUUCCGACCCCGAAAGGGGAAGGUAAUCUCGAAAACCUGUCGUAGUUGGGAUCGAGGGUUGAAACUCACCCUCGUGAACAUGGAAUCCCUAGUAAUCGCGUGUCACUAUCGCGCGGUGAAUACGUCCCUGCUCCUUGCACACACCGCCCGUCGUUCCACCCGAGUGACUUCUGGGUGAGCCGUAGUCAAUUUGGCUAUGUCAAAUCUAGUUUUUGCAAGGGGGGAAAAGUCGUAACAAGGUG